GGAUGUGAAGGCGAUCUGGCUGUGACAUCUGUCACCCCAUUGAUCGCCAGGGUUGAUUCGACUGAUCUGGCUGGCUAGGCGGGUGUCCCCUUCCUCCCUCACCGUUCCAUGUGCGUCCCUCCGGAAGCUGUGUGCUCUGUCGAAGAGGACCACCUUCCCCAAUAGAGGAGGAUCAUUCUUCGGUCAAGGGUAUACAAGUAGCUGCGCUCCCCUGCUAGAACCUCCAAACAAGCUCUUAAGACAGUUGUAUGGAGAUUAGAUAGGAUAAGAACAAGAAUGGAAGCAGGAAGACCACUCAGGGAACCAGCACAGUCCCCCAGGG
rfam:Felis catus isolate Cinnamon breed Abyssinian chromosome D3, whole genome shotgun sequence.